GUUGUGGAUGUGAAUGAGCAAACGGAGUCGCUGAUUUAGAUUGUGGGGUUUAAUCUGGUGCGCGAUCGAGCUACUAGCACCAGAUUCCGUGUAAUUAUGCGGACCAUCGAUCGGGGAAAACUCGAUUUGGCGCCUUGGCGCUUGGCCAAGCCUGCGGUGCCUCGAUAGGCAGGUCAAAGCGGAGAAUAAUUCGGGUUCGGUGACCACUGAGCAGCGGUCCGGCUUGCCGCUUCCCCGAUUUGCAAAGUAGAAUUUUCCAGUCGAAGGGAGGAUAGGAAACUGCGUGAUUGAUUAGCCACAACCGGCGCCUAGGCCCUGUAAGUCGGUACGAAUCGAAUGCCAGAUGCAGCAGGUCGGUAUGUGGGAUUUUGGCGCUGGUAGGUGACAUUCCAUCUCAUGGAAUCCGAGUAGUUCUUGUGAAUACAUGCUCUUGCCAUGAUUGCCAGAUGGCUUUUGUAUGCAUUCACCGAGUUGGGGUGUGGAUCCGAGGACAACGGGAGGCUUUAAAAAGAUCGACUCCAUAAUAUGACGGCUCAGCUCAAAAGCCGGACGGUGCAGUUGGGCGUUCCUAUCUAUGCUUGCGGUGUCCACCACAUAACGUUGUGGGGUCGUGCUCGGCGCGCUACGAUUUCGUUACUCGCUGGUUUUCACUGGCGCGUAGUCGCCUGCUUAGUCUGUUGAAUUCGCUCCGACGUUGCGAGCCUGUGAGGAUGGAAAGCACCUCCAAGGUCUAUCGAGGUGUCGGCGACUGCGUUGCAAUAUAUAGGAGUCCAUGACACGGUACCCGGUGAUAAAUUGAGAUGCUUCCUUCCCUAUUCUAGAUGUACAGCGGCAGACAUUCUCGUGUCUUGUGUUAAUCAUUACAUCUGGUCGUUUUUAGUGGACGUAGAUUGCCGAGAACUUCGUUACUUUGUUCUGUUAGGGCGUGAGAUCCGUCAUGUGAGCACUGACGGGAGGAGGUUCACUAUGAUCCUUGGUCUCAUCUGAUAGAGGCAAAGCAAUAGGAAUCACGAUGAUAGCAAUUGCCUAUGUAGAAGCCAGGGUUGGAGCAUUCGACGUUCACAAGGAACGUCGCGCCACCAGAAAGUCAAGCAGGCAAAGUCCCGAUUGACUCUCACAGCUUGCCGCUAUUCGAUCCCGCAUCUCGUUGCAGUGCAGCGCGCACAGCGUCUCAGAUUCGGAAUUCUGGGUGCAUUGUUGUCCUGUCGUGAACGUUUAUCACCUCCUGGAAGUUGGCUUUGUUACGCCGUAUAAACUCGCAAUUCCCGCAGGUCGAUUGACUGCGACGGUCCCAGAGGAACUAUCAACAGCGAUUUGGUCAGAAGCCUUAUGUUCGUUCUCGAGGCGAGGAGCUUAGGGUUAGGUUGAACAUCAGAAUGAUUCAGAAAUUGACACCACCUGAGACCGAAGUUGCGGACUUGUGCCACGAGAACCCUUACCUGAAGGCUCACAACGUAAGUGUCUUCGGCAAUGGGGACCAGUGGCUAGUGUUUGGACACGGCUUCGGCAGUGACCAAUCCGUCUGGCAGCUCGUAGCCCCUCACUUCUCGAAGACGUACAAGGUUCUUCUUUUUGACUUGAUGGGUGCGGGAUCCACAAACUCCCACAGCUUUACUUUUUCACGUUACAAUACUCUACAUGCUUAUGCUGACGACUUGCUUGCGAUCCUGGAGGAGAUGGACAUCCAGAGCUGCACAUACGUUGGGCAUUCGAUGUCUGGCAUGAUUGGGUGCAUAGCUUCUAUCGAGAGACCAUCUGUCUUCAAGAAACUCAUUCUCAUGGCAGCAUCUCCCAGGUACAUUAACGAUGAUAAUUACAUCGGUGGGUUUGAGUUGGAGGAUCUCCUUGAGGUUUUCGCGGCCAUGCAAUCAAAUUUCCGAGCCUGGGCCACUGGUUUUGUACCUAAGGCGAUGGGAGCAGACAUUCAGAGCUGGCCAGUUCGAGAGUUCACCCGCACACUCUUCAAUAUGCGACCAGACAUAGCUCUUGGUGUCUCCAAGACUUGCUUUGAAAGUGAUCUCCGGCCUAUUCUUCCGCAGGUUACAGUUCCAUGCUACUUAAUGCAAACCGGCAUGGACAUAUCUGUAUCCAUCGAAGUAGUCAAGUACAUGGCUGCCCAUCUCGGUGGUAAGACAGAGGUUGAAAUUUUGCACGACUUAGAAGGUCAUUUGCCUCACCUCACCCAUCCUGCGGAGGUUACUGCGAUGCUCCAACGUGCCUUGCUCUGGGCUGCCUGAUGCUUUAGAUCCUUAGAAUUGUGAUUAUAGUGCAGACGACGUAACAGUCACCGAUCCAGGGGUUUUUGUCCAGCAUCAAGAGUUGAAGAAGCAGCAACUCACGUUCACCUAACACUUGAUCGGUUUGUAAUAGCCGUUCCAAGCUUUGAUUUCAGACGGUGCAACAGUAAAGCGAUGCUAGGCGUUCUGAGAUUCUCUCAUUCGCCCGCCCAUGCUGCACAGAAGUACUUUCUUUCAAGCAAAUCGUAGUGGACAAGUGGAAGAAUAAAGUAAUACUAUUAACUGGUCGGAGAAAAAACAAAUCCUACUGAUCCGUUCACACGUUGCGAGACAGCUCACUCUCUAAAUUACGACAGAAGAUAUCGUAGUGAGAACGUAGGCAGGGAAGAACUCGUGCUAGUUCUCAAUGUUAUGUGUUUUCCUUUCCUCUAUUUAUAUAGUUAUUCUCCUGAUUCGAAGUAUGUAACCUUAUUAUCAAAAUAAUUACUCGGUUGCGUGAAAGAAAAUUAAACAAAGGAAUUUCGCAUCUGCAA